AAUCGACUUGGACUCACCCUAUAUUCAUUUCUUUUGAAUUAAAGUCAAAUAUACAAAUGUUAUUUGAUUAACCAUUAAUCCUAACGACAAUUUUUGGUUCAUCAAGUGUGAUGGGGGAAGGUCAUUAGAUGACUAUAUUGAUCUUACCAAGAUUGACUAAUGACUUUCGCAAAGACCUAGUGACCCUAGUAGGCCAUUUGCAUCUAUUUAAAAGAGUAUUUCUUUGAAUUGGUAUGUAAGAUGUUUUCUUG
rnacentral:lncRNA from 1 species